CUUUAAAAUGUGUGAGCAUGC
rnacentral:piRNA from 1 species